AAACUUCACUCGGAAGUGCUUCAGAGCCUCCUCCUCUGUUUUCCCCAGUGCCAGGGAGUCCUUGAGAUACCGGCUGUCCUCGGAGCAGCUGAGCUCGGGCAGGCCUGCCGCCCGCAUCAGGGCAAAGAGGUGGAGGAAGAGAAGCCCGUGGGGCCGCAGGAUGGUGUAGGCCCUUUCACAGUAGCCCUGGAACCUUUCAAAUUUCUCACUAUUAUUAGUCUUCCCCUGCUCAAUCACAUGGACAAAGUCGUAGUGUGAAACUACAACUGUGUUUAUAAGGAGGAUGCCACUGGAAAUGAAUUCUGCUCAAAGAACGAACUCUCUACACUCGUCAUCUUUCUCUCACAGACAUCAUACCACCUCAAGCACUGCAGCCUCAAAAGGGAAAUUCCUGAGUGAUUCUUCUUGAAGCUUAAAUUCUGUGGGAUUUUUAUAGAGGAAAACUUAGGAGAGGAACCAGACAGCCCAUCUAGGAGCUGAUAAUCUUCUAGUGAAGACCACCCCUGCAGGAAAGCAUCUGUCCUCCCAGA
rnacentral:lncRNA from 1 species